rnacentral:rRNA from 1 species
UAGCAUAUCAAUAAGCGGAGGAAAAGAAACCAACAGGGAUUGCCUCAGUAACGGCGAGUGAAGCGGCAACAGCUCAAAUUUGAAAUCUGGCCUCGGCCCGAGUUGUAAUUUGUAGAGGAAGCUUUUGGUGCGGCACCGACCGAGUCCCCUGGAACGGGGCGCCAUAGAGGGUGAGAGCCCCGUAUGGUUGGACGCCUAUCCUCUGUAAAGCUCCUUCGACGAGUCGAGUAGUUUGGGAAUGCUGCUCAAAAUGGGAGGUAAAUUUCUUCUAAAGCUAAAUAUUGGCCAGAGACCGAUAGCGCACAAGUAGAGUGAUCGAAAGAUGAAAAGCACUUUGAAAAGAGGGUUAAAUAGCACGUGAAAUUGUUGAAAGGGAAGCGCUUGUGACCAGACUUGCGCCUCGUCGAUCAUCCGGGGUUCUCCCCGGUGCACUCGGCGGGGCUCAGGCCAGCAUCGGUUUUCGUGGGGGGACAAAGGCACCGGGAACGUAGCUCCUCCGGGAGUGUUAUAGCCCGGGGCGUAAUGCCCUCGCGGGGACCGAGGACCGCGCUUCGGCAAGGAUGCUGGCGUAAUGGUCAUCAGCGACCCGUCUUGAAACACGGACCAAGGAGUCAAGGUUUUGCGCGAGUGUUUGGGUGUAAAACCCGCACGCGUAAUGAAAGUGAACGUAGGUGAGAGCUUCGGCGCAUCAUCGACCGAUCCUGAUGUAUUCGGAUGGAUUUGAGUAGGAGCGUUAAGCCUUGGACCCGAAAGAUGGUGAACUAUGCUUGGAUAGGGUGAAGCCAGAGGAAACUCUGGUGGAGGCUCGCAGCGGUUCUGACGUGCAAAUCGAUCGUCAAAUCUGAGCAUGGGGGCGAAAGACUAAUCGAACCAUCUAGUAACCUGGUUACCCCCAAAGUUCCCC